rnacentral:lncRNA from 1 species
UGGACCCCAGGUGAGGCCCCGGGCGUGGCCCAGGUGUGUCCAGGUGUGCCCAGGUGUGCUCAGGUGUUCCCCAGGUGUGCCCAGGUGUGUCCCCAGGUGUGUCCAGGUGUGCUCAGGUGUGUCCAGGUGUGCCCAGGUGUCCCCAGGUGUCCCCAGGUGUCCCCAGGUGUGUCCAGGUGUGUCCAGGUGUGUCCCAGGUGUCCCCAGGUGUGCUCAGGUGUAUCCAGGUGUCCCCAGGUGCACUCAGGUGUGUCCAGGUGUGCUCAGGUGUGUCCCAGGUGUCCCCAGGUGUGUCCAGGUGUUCCCAGGUGCACUCAGGUGUGUCCCCAGGUGUCCCCAGGUGUUCCCAGGUGCACUCAGGUGUGUCCCCAGGUGUAUCCAGAUGUAUCCAGGUGUAUCUCAGGUGUGUCCAGGUGUGUCCAGGUGUGUCCAGGUGCACUCAGGUGUGUCCCAGGUGUCCCCAGGUGUGUCCAGGUGUGCUCAGGUGUGCUCAGGUGUGUCCUCAGGUGUGCCCAGGUACACUCAGGUGUGUCCCCUCUCAGACAGGCGCGGGUCCGGGUGGUGACGGGGACCGAGCUGGCCUCGAUGGCCCCGGGGACAUUGGAGGAGCUGCUGUGGGUGUAGGUGUGGGUGUGUCCAGGUGUGUCCAGGUGUCCCCAGGUGUGUCCAGGUGUCCCCAGGUGUGUCCAGGUGCACUCAGGUGUGUCCCCAGGUGUAUCCAGGUGUAUCCAGGUGUCCCCAGGUGUCCCCAGGUGUAUCCAGAUGUAUCCAGGUGUCCCCAGGUGUCCCCAGGUGUCCCCAGGUGUGUCCCCAGGUGUGCUCAGGUGUGUCCCCAGGUGUCCCCAGGUGUGUCCAGGUGUAUCCAGGUGCACUCAGGUGUGUCCUCAGGUGUGCCCAGGUGCACUCAGGUGUGUCCC